GAGAAGUGCAACAUGAUUGUGUCCACAUUCCCAUGCUGGUGGUUUCAGUCUCAGCAGCAAUUGGACUCGGUGUGUCUGCCACAGCUGCAGAUGUUUGUUGCUCAGUUGAAAACCAUUGCUCAGUGUUUAGAUGUCACAUCUCCAGCAGGCAGGGAGGCCAUGGAGCAUGUGACAAAGAUCCGACAGACACUGCAAUCAUAGUGACAAUGUUUUAUUUGUAAUGUAACUUAUUGUGGUGAUGUGUUAAUAUAUUCGUAUUGAUCAUGUGA